UGCAUCUAUCCUUGUGCAGCUGUGUUCCUU
rnacentral:piRNA from 1 species